AUUGAACGCUGGCGGCAUGCCUUACACAUGCAAGUCGAACGGCAGCAUAGGAGCUUGCUCCUGAUGGCGAGUGGCGAACGGGUGAGUAAUAUAUCGGAACGUGCCCUAGAGUGGGGGAUAACUAGUCGAAAGACUAGCUAAUACCGCAUACGAUCUACGGAUGAAAGUGGGGGAUCGCAAGACCUCAUGCUCCUGGAGCGGCCGAUAGCUGAUUAGCUAGUUGGUGGGGUAAAAGCUCACCAAGGCGACGAUCAGUAGCUGGUCUGAGAGGACGACCAGCCACACUGGGACUGAGACACGGCCCAGACUCCUACGGGAGGCAGCAGUGGGGAAUUUUGGACAAUGGGGGCAACCCUGAUCCAGCAAUGCCGCGUGAGUGAAGAAGGCCUUCGGGUCGUAAAGCUCUUUUAUCAGGGAAGAAACGGUUCUGGAUAAUACCUGGGACUAAUGACGGUACCUGAAGAAUAAGCACCGGCUAACUACGUGCCAGCCGCCGCCGUAAUAC
rnacentral:rRNA from 1 species